UUGAUUACCACUUGCACAGAUGUCCGGCCUCCGGGGUCGCGACAGCUGGGCGCCAGGUGUGGCUCCGCACCUGUCCAACUAAACCGGGCUACCAUUUUUAACACUGUUGCAUGGGUUGGCUGUCAAGUAGCGCAAGCUACGCGGCGUCAACAAAUUUAACACACACUAAUGAUAUUUAGGAUUUGAAUGUCAACUGAUGAACGGCUGGUAAUAGCGGUCGUAAAAUCAAAAAA
rnacentral:misc_RNA from 1 species